CACGUAGGGGACGAGCGUUGUCCGGAUUCAUUGGGCGUAAAGAGCUCGUAGGCGGCUGCUCAAGUCGAAUGUGAAAACUCGAGGCUCAACCUCGAGCCUGCAUUCGAUACUGGGCGGCUAGAGUCUGGUAGGGGGAUCUGGAAUUCCUGGUGUAGCGGUGGAAUGCGCAGAUAUCUGGAGGAACACCGGUGGCGAAGGCGGCAUCCUGGGACCGACACUGACGCGUGAGGCGCGAAAGCUAGGGUAGCAAACGGGG
rnacentral:rRNA from 1 species